GUUAAAGGGUAGUUGGGAGGUUAAGGUGGGGAUGGUGUCUGGUAAUGGUCGUACUGCAGCAAGGAUAGGAUGCUUGUCUAUCUCCAGUACCUUUGAGCUCUGUGGCAAUUGCUGCUACUGCUGCCCAGUGGGAAUAUAGGGAGGUAAGGUGGAUAUAGCAUCUCCUAUAUCUCAGCAUGGAAUGAAGACACAGCCUAGUGGAAGCUGAAAGGGAAACAGAAGCUGCCAGAUGUAAUGGGGCCGAUUAACCUGCAACAUUCAAUGUGAGAUUUAUGCAUAAGAGGAGAAAAUCUGGGAAGAGCAGCAGAUCAUCAGAAUACUCCAGGAACCAGGGUCUGAACUGAGACUGGCGGUGACUCCCUGUAGCGAGAAACAUGGUAUGUCCACUGAUCACUGCACCGACAGCAAGAAUAGUCAACCACAGGAAGCUGGUGACAAGGGGCCUGCCCACAUGUCAAAGCUCCAGAAAGUCUUUCAAAAUUCAAGAUUACUUACAAACAGAAAAGGAAAGUUUCAGAAAGUGCAGCAUUUGAAAAAGGAACAAAAACUUUACAGCUGCAAGAGACUCAUGGGUACUCAGAUGAAAAGAGCAAAUAUAAAAUUUGCAUCUCCCAAGACACGUUUGUUGGGAGCAAAAACGACUUCUGAAUGGGUUCAGCUUUGGAACAUCAUCAUGUCAUUGUGUAAGGAAGAUAAAGGAAUCCUGGUGGCUUGCCCAGGCAUCCAGUUAAGAACAUACAUCAGGAUCCCUCACAUCAAAGAUUUAAGGCUGCAUGUAUUAAGGCUUGAUCGUAUUUAAAAAAAAAGUGGAAAAGUGAUGAUGCCUCCCACAGCAACUAGCUGCUGUCCACAUCAGUGCUGGUACCCAAAAAAAUGCAAUGCACAAAUCCCCAGACAAAAAAGGAAAAGAAUGCUGCCAUGCUUGAGUACACUCGACACAUCCUGCAUGUGACUUCAUAAAACCCAAAGACUUGCAACACACAAAAGUAAGCUUAACCCUUAAAAUUCUCAAGAUAAAGGACCAAGUCCAGGAGUGCUGUUGACAUGCACUCAGCACAGUUUAGGGGAUCUGCAUGUCGAAGUGGCUUAAAACUCCCCAUUGCACAAAACUGCUGCUGUAUCUGUGCAGGACCAUAAUCUUGCAGUGAGUUAUUGCAGCACGAAGUCUGCUCUAACUCUCACCUGCUGCAAGUAUACCUAAGGGGCUGGAACUGCAGCUGAGGACUGAUGUGAUGCAGUGGUGCCUUAGCCACACUCCUUUCUAUCCACCACUGGAAGAUCAUCUUUGCACUGGAGUAAUCCUUGGGCUUUUUACACCAGCUUUACUGUCACAUUCUGCUAGCGAGGCAGUGCAAAAAUGCCAUACCACACCUGUGCGGAACACUUAAGUCUCUUAAUCUUUCUUUGGGGAGGUGGGGCUCUAGACUGC